GACGAACGCUGGCGGCGUGCCUAAUACAUGCAAGUCGAACGAACCGCGACUGAGUGCUUGCACUUGGUCAAGGUGAGUGGCGAACGGGUGAGUAACACGUGGGUAACCUACCUCAUAGUGGGGGAUAACAGUCGGAAACGACUGCUAAUACCGCAUAGGACAUGGAAUCACAUGAUUCUGUGAGGAAAGGUGGCGCAAGCUAUCGCUAAGAGAUGGACCCGCGGUGCAUUAGCUAGUUGGUAGGGUAAGGGCCUACCAAGGCGAUGAUGCAUAGCCGACCUGAGAGGGUGAUCGGCCACAUUGGGACUGAGACACGGCCCAAACUCCUACGGGAGGCAGCAGUAGGGAAUCUUCCGCAAUGGACGCAAGUCUGACGGAGCAACGCCGCGUGAGUGAAGAAGGUCUUCGGAUCGUAAAGCUCUGUUGUUAGAGAAGAACAGCGCAUAGAGUAACUGUUAUGCGUGUGACGGUAUCUAACCAGAAAGCCACGGCUAACUACGUGCCAGCAGCCGCGGUAAUACGUAGGUGGCGAGCGUUGUCCGGAUUUAUUGGGCGUAAAGGGAGUGUAGGCGGUCUUUUAAGUCUGAUGUGAAAGCCCACGGCUCAACCGUGGAGGGUCAUUGGAAACUGGGAGACUUGAGUGCAGAAGAGGAGAGCGGAAUUCCAUGUGUAGCGGUGAAAUGCGUAGAUAUAUGGAGGAACACCAGUGGCGAAGGCGGCUCUCUGGUCUGUAACUGACGCUGAGGCUCGAAAGCGUGGGGAGCAAACAGG
rnacentral:rRNA from 1 species